rnacentral:rRNA from 1 species
UACAGAGGGGGCAAGCGUUGUUCGGAAUUAUUGGGCGUAAAGAGCUUGUAGGCGGUUUGUCGCGUCUGCUGUGAAAUUUCGGGGCUCAACCCCGAACUUGCAGUGGGUACGGGCAGACUAGAGUGUGGUAGGGGAGACUGGAAUUCCUGGUGUAGCGGUGAAAUGCGCAGAUAUCAGGAGGAACACCGGUGGCGAAGGCGGGUCUCUGGGCCGUAACUGACGCUGAGGAGCGAAAGCAUGGGGAGCGAACAGG